CUUGUGGCCAAAUCAGGUUGAAAACACCAGUUCCCGUAUAAUCACUGCAGUUAAGCAACAUUCAGCCUGGUCAGUCAGUACCUAGAUAGGUGACCACUUGAGAAUACCAGGUAC